UCGGCGCGAUUCGCCUUGGCUCAGUAACACGUAGCUAACCUACCCUUAGGACGUUUAUACCCCCGAGAAAUUGGGGCUAAUGAACGAUAGAUGUGAUGUCCUGGAAUGGUAUUACGUCUAAAAGUAUAUCAUACAUGUUUGAUAUACGCCUAAGGACGGGGCUGCGGCUGAUCAGGCUGUUGGUGAGGUAAUGGCUCACCAAACCAUUGACCAGUACGGGCCAUGAGAGUGGUAGCCCGGAGAUGGACACUGAGACAAGGGUCCAGGCCCUACGGGGCGCAGCAGGCGCGAAACCUCCUCAAUGCACUAAAGUGCGAAGGGGUUACCUCGAGUGCCAUCUGAUGAAGGUGGCUUUUCCUUGGUCUAAAAAGCCUAGGGAAUAAGAGGGGGGCAAGACUGGUGUCAGCCGCCGCGGUAACACCAGCCCCUCGAGUGGUGGGGAUGAUUAUUUGGCCUAAAGCGUCCGUAGCCGGCCGAGUAAGUUUCCCGUUAAAUCCAACGUCUCAAGCGUUGGACUGCGGGAAAUACUGCUUGGCUAGAGAGUGGGAGAGGUCAGCGGUAUUCUGGGGGUAGGGGCGAAAUCCUUUGAUCCCCGGAGGACCACCAGUGGCGAAGGCUGCUGACUAGAACACGUCUGACGGUCAGGGACGAAAGCUGGGGUAGCGAACCGGAUUAGAUACCCGGGUAGUCCCAGCCGUAAACGAUGCAUGCUACGUGUUGGGUUGGCCACGAGCCACCCCAGUGCCGCAGGAAGCCGUUAAGCAUGCCGCCUGGGAAGUACGAUCGCAGAUUGAACUUAAGAAUUAGCGGGGGAGCACAGACGAUCGUUAACUGCAGACUAGUCCUUAGUGAGGUGAUUCUGAGCUGCGUAAUCAUGUCAUAGCUGUUCUUGUGUGAAAUGUAUCGCUCCAUUCCACAACAUCAGCCGAGCUAUGUAAGGCCUUGGGGCUAUGA
rnacentral:rRNA from 1 species